UACGUAGGGUGCAAGCGUUAAUCGGAAUUACUGGGCGUAAAGCGUGCGCAGGCGGUUGUGCAAGACAGAUGUGAAAUCCCCGGGCUUAACCUGGGAACUGCAUUUGUGACUGCACGGCUAGAGUGUGUCAGAGGGGGGUAGAAUUCCACGUGUAGCAGUGAAAUGCGUAGAUAUGCGGAGGAACACCGAUGGCGAAGGGCAAUCCCCUGGGCCUGUACUGACGCUCAUGCACGAAAGCGUGGGGAGCAAACAGG
rnacentral:rRNA from 1 species